CAGCAGUAGCCACGGUAAUACGUAGGGUGCAAGCGUUAAUCGGAAUUACUGGGCGUAAAGCGUGCGCAGGCGGUUAUAUAAGACAGAUGUGAAAUCCCCGGGCUCAACCUGGGAACUGCAUUUGUGACUGUAUAGCUAGAGUACGGCAGAGGGGGAUGGAAUUCCGCGUGUAGCAGUGAAAUGCGUAGAUAUGCGGAGGAACACCGAUGGCGAAGGCAAUCCCCUGGGCCUGUACUGACGCUCAUGCACGAAAGCGUGGGGAGCAAACAGGAUUAGAUACCCCCGUAGUCCCUGUCUCUUAUAU
rnacentral:rRNA from 1 species